AUUGCACAAACCCCAUCAGCUUUUAUUCUCACCCUCCACAUAUGAUUGUAUAAUUCUGAAUGCCUUCAAAAUUCGUUCACAUCUGUUCACUGAUCAGUACCUUUCAAAAAUAACAUCCAGUAAAUGUCUUGUUUGGCAUAUUACCUUUAUACAUCAUUUGGACUUAUUUGGUGCUUUAAAGGACUAGCACAAGUGAGUCUUACAAGACAAAGAGGAUUGUUAUGUGGCUUUUGUCUGUUAACAGGAGAGACUGGACAUACAGAACAAUAUUACAGCUAUUGAGACAUCAAGGAUCUGUGAGAUCCCAAUGGAAUUUACCCCUAAAUUAGCCCUACCUGUGUUCAUCUGGACAACUCAAAAACAACCAAAAGUAUCCUAGGAGACAGAUGCUGAUCAACCAGACAACUUCAGAUCUUAAUUACUGACACAAAUAUCUGAUCUCAGCAGGCAAAUUGAUAGCUGAAUAAAUAUUGUUUGCAUAGAAUAUUUCUCAAUAACAAUGGUAAUAUGUGUUGAAGUACUUCUCUGCCCCCUUCUGUCCAUCUUGAAUCUGGUUGAUUUCCUGCUGCAUCCAUCAAUCUGCACUGUAAAAUCAUAUUCUUGUUUAGGUUAGUAAGAAAGCCCUUAAUUAUCCAGAACGUGUGUUCUGAGAGUUCAGUGAAAACAGAUUCUGAGUUAAGUAUUUCAAAGAAGAAAAUAAAUCUAAUUAAAUAGUAAUGCAAAAUAAAUUGAUGUAAGUAGGCCUAUGUUUAAGAACUAUUUAAAGAGUUUCAACUAACUGUUCAAAUCGUGCCUUUAAAGAUUAGUUUGGGUUAAUAUCCUAAGUAAGCAGUUCAGAAGUGAAUAACGAAACAGUCAUAUUACAAACCAGCAUCUAUAUUAUAUGUCGCAGACUUUAGGCAAUCAUUGCAUGUGAAACAUGUGCAUACUUUACUGACAACAGCACCUGUUUGAAGUGUGAUCCUCAGAUAACUACUGAACACGAACAAAUCACAGGUUCGUCCAUCUGAGGUGAAGCAUAGAACCAGAAAAGGAACCAGGUAAGCCAAGUUCAGCCGGCUCGCAAUUAGAUGUGGUAAAUAUUUUUGCCCUUGAUGGACUCUAAACCGGGGGCCUGUUGCACAAUAGUAGAAUGAAGAAAUCCAGGAUAACGCGCAUCGCGGCGUAAUCGGUUGCACGUUUACCAAGCCAGGAUGAGAAGGUGAAGCUAUGUCAAGCCAGGUGUAGAUAGUGGGGAUAAGUGCACUUUCUUAAACAGACCACGGUAUCGAUCACAGAUUUACUGAUGCAGAGAUGGAGAAGACGCGUGCGGCAUAUUUUUCACCCGCUGAGCAGCAAUUAUGGAAAGUUACGAGGAGGUAAAGCAUAUAAUAUGCAGAAAAGGAAAUACGGCUGCUGUUAUUAAACAGAGAGAAAAAGCAUGGCAGACAAUAGCGGACCGACUGAAUGCAACCAAUGUGACUGGGCAAAAAAAGAACCUGGCAACAAGUCAAGAUCAAAUACGAAAACAUUUUGCAGUCUGGUGGAAGGGGCUGCUGCAGCUGAGGAUGAGGAGACUGUGUCACUGGACUCCAGAAGGCCUGAGCUCCAAACUGACAAGUGACAGC
ensembl:lncRNA